AGAAAAAGAAUAACACGAUGUCCUGGUGUCU
rnacentral:piRNA from 1 species